rnacentral:rRNA from 1 species
GUGCCAGCAGCCGCGGUAAUACGUAGGGUGCGAGCGUUAAUCGGAAUUACUGGGCGUAAAGCGUGCGCAGGCGGUUUUGUAAGUCAGAUGUGAAAUCCCCGGGCUCAACCUGGGAACUGCGUUUGAAACUACAAGGCUAGAGUGUAGCAGAGGGGGGUAGAAUUCCACGCGUAGCAGUGAAAUGCGUAGAGAUGUGGAGGAAUACCAAUGGCGAAGGCAGCCCCCUGGGUUAACACUGACGCUCAUGCACGAAAGCGUGGGGAGCAAACAGGAUUAGAUACCCUGGUAGUCCACGCCCUAA